rnacentral:rRNA from 1 species
GACGAACGCUGGCGGCGUGCUUAACACAUGCAAGUCGAGCGGUAAGGCCCUUUCGGGGGUACACGAGCGGCGAACGGGUGAGUAACACGUGGGUGACCUGCCCUCAGCUCUGGGAUAAGCCCGGGAAACUGGGUCUAAUACUGGAUAUUACUCUGCGGUGCAUGCCGUGGGGUGGAAAGCCUUGUGCGGCUGGGGAUGGGCCCGCGGCCUAUCAGCUUGUUGGUGGGGUGAUGGCCACCAAGGCGACGACGGGUAGCCGGCCUGAGAGGGCGACCGGCCACACUGGGACUGAGACACGGCCCAGACUCCUACGGGAGGCAGCAGUGGGGAAUCUUGCGCAAUGGGCGAAAGCCUGACGCAGCGACGCCGCGUGAGGGAUGACGGCC